rnacentral:rRNA from 1 species
UACGUGGGGGGCAAGCGUUGUUCGGAAUUACUGGGCGUAAAGGGCUCGUAGGUGGCCAACUAAGUCAGACGUGAAAUCCCUCGGCUUAACCGGGGAACUGCGUCUGAUACUGGAUGGCUUGAGAUUGGGAGAGGGAUGCGGAAUUCCAGGUGUAGCGGUGAAAUGCGUAGAUAUCUGGAGGAACACCGGUGGCGAAGGCGGCAUCCUGGACCAACACUGACACUCAGGUGCGACAGCGUGGGGGGCAAACAGG